AUACGUAGGGGGCGAGCGUUGUCCGGAAUGAUUGGGCGUAAAGGGCGCGUAGGCGGCCCGGUAAGUCUGGAGUGAAAGUCCUGUUUUUAAGAUGGGAAUUGCUUUGGAUACUGUCGGGCUUGAGUGCAGGAGAGGUAGGUGGAAUUUCCAGUGUUGCGGUGAAAGGCGUAGAGAUUGGGAGGAACACCAGUGGCGAAGGCGACUUACUGGACUGUAACUGACGCUGAGGCGCGAAAGUGUGGGGAGCAAACAGGAUUAGAUACCCUGGUAGUCCACACUGUAAACGAUGAAUGCUAGGUGUAGGGGGUAUCGACCCCUUCUGUGCCGCAGUCAACACAAUAAGCAUUCCGCCUGGGGAGUACGGCCGCAAGGUUGAAACUCAAAGGAAUUGACGGGG
rnacentral:rRNA from 1 species